rnacentral:rRNA from 1 species
AACGAACGCUGGCGGCAGGCCUAACACAUGCAAGUCGAGCGCCCUGCAAGGGGAGUGGCAGACAGGUGAGUAACGCGUGGGAAUCUACCAAGUUCUACGGAACAACUGAGGGAAACUUCAGCUAAUACCGUAUACGCCCUAUGGGGGAAAGAUUUAUCGGAAUUAGAUGAGCCCGCGUAAGAUUAGCUAGUUGGUGAGGUAAUGGCUCACCAAGGCGACGAUCUUUAGCUGGUCUGAGAGGAUGAUCAGCCACACUGGGACUGAGACACGGCCCAGACUCCUACGGGAGGCAGCAGUGGGGAAUAUUGGACAAUGGGCGCAAGCCUGAUCCAGCCAUGCCGCGUGAGUGAUGAAGGCCUUAGGGUUGUAAAGCUCUUUCAGUAGGGAAGAUAAUGACGGUACCUACAGAAGAAGCCCCGGCUAACUUCGUGCCAGCCGCCGCCGUAACAC